rnacentral:snRNA from 1 species
AUUGCUUCUCGGCCUUUUGGCUAAGAUCAAGUGUAUAAUCUGUUACUCAUAAUGGAGUAGAAUUAGGUCAAACAUCUAAUCUCCUAUGACUUCCUUCUUUAUCUCCCAUGUAUAACUUUGAAUAUCCUGUAAUUACAGAUAUUACUUUUCUUCAAGACCUCAA